AUCCCUGUAGCGCAAUGGAUAGUGCGUUGGAAUUCUAAUCCAACGGUCGUGGGUUCGAUUCCUACCAGGGAUG